UUGGGUGACGAGUGGCGGACGGGUGAGUAAUGUCUGGGGAUCUGCCCGAUAGAGGGGGAUAACCACUGGAAACGGUGGCUAAUACCGCAUAACGUCGCAAGACCAAAGAGGGGGACCUUCGGGCCUCUCACUAUCGGAUGAACCCAGAUGGGAUUAGCUAGUAGGCGGGGUAAUGGCCCACCUAGGCGACGAUCCCUAGCUGGUCUGAGAGGAUGACCAGCCACACUGGAACUGAGACACGGUCCAGACUCCUACGGGAGGCAGCAGUGGGGAAUAUUGCACAAUGGGCGCAAGCCUGAUGCAGCCAUGCCGCGUGUAUGAAGAAGGCCUUCGGGUUGUAAAGUACUUUCAGCGGGGAGGAAGGCGAU
rnacentral:rRNA from 1 species